AGUGAACGCUGGCGGCGUGCCUAAUACAUGCAAGUCGAACGAGUGGCGCACGGGUGAGUAACGCAUCGGAACGUACCGAGUAAUGGGGGAUAACUGUCCGAAAGGACAGCUAAUACCGCAUAUUAUUCGAGCGGCCGAUGUCUGAUUAGCUGGGUGGCGGGGUAAAGGCCCACCAAGGCGACGGUCAGUAGCGGGUCUGAGAGGAUGACCAGCCACACUGGGAUGUGGACACGGCCCAGACUCCGACGGGAGGCAGCAGUGGGUAAUAUUGCGCAAUGGGGGCAACCCUGACGCAGCCAUGCCGCGUGAAUGAAGAAGGCCUUCGGGUUGUAAAGUUCUUUCGGUAGCGAGGCGUUACCUACAGAAGAAGCACCGGCUAACUCCGUGCCAGCCGCCGCGGUAAUAC
rnacentral:rRNA from 1 species